AGAUAAUUGAGAAGAACGCUGGUCACAGUCGCAGUAGAGUUUUCAGAGAGGUGGAGACGCUUUACCAGUGUCAAGGAAAUAAGAACAUUCUGGAGCUCAUUCAGUUUUUUGAAGAUGACUGCUGUUUUCAUCUGGUGUUUGAGAAGUUGCUUGGAGGUUCCAUUUUAACACACAUCCAGAGUCGAAAGUACUUUGAUGAGAGAGAGGCAAGUCAUGUAGUCAGGGAUAUAGCACA